UUCUCUCUGCAAAAAGAAAAUAAGAAAACAAAAAGAAUAUUGAAAAAAGCUGACACCUCACCAACAUAAUACUCUCUCUCUCUCACACAGACUCCCUCACGCUGAAAAGAAAGAAAAAAAACAAAAAAAGGACUUGGGACUCUUAUAAUAAAAUCCACUAUUCACUCAUCUUCUUCAUUGGCUCCAUCCGCUACGCUACCG
rnacentral:lncRNA from 1 species